rnacentral:rRNA from 1 species
UACGUAGGGAGCAAGCGUUGUCCGGAUUCACUGGGCGUAAAGGGUGCGCAGGCGGUUUUGUUAGUCAGAGGUGAAAUCUCACGGCUUAACCGUGAAACUGCCUUUGAUACUGCAGAUCUUGAGUUUGGGAGAGGUUGAUGGAAUUCCAGGUGUAGCGGUGAAAUGCGUAGAUAUCUGGAAGAACACCAGUGGCGAAGGCGGUCAACUGGCCCAUAACUGACGCUCAGGCACGAAAGCGUGGGGAGCAAACAGG